UGAAGUGGGUAGUCCGCACGAGCGCACCCUUACUUUUAGUUGCCAUCAUUUAGUUGGGCACUCUGAAAGAACUGCCAGUGAUAAGCUGGAGGAAGGUGGGGAUGACGUCAAGUCCUCAUGGCCCUUAUGUGUUGGGCUACACACGUGCUACAAUGGUAUCUACAACAGGAAGCAAGAUGGCAACAUUAAGCAAAUCCCAAAAAGAUACCUCAGUUCGGAUUGCACUCUGCAACUCGAGUGCAUGAAGCUGGAAUUACUAGUAAUCGUGGAUCAGCGUGCCACGGUGAAUACGUUCCCGGGUCUUGUACACACCGCCCGUCACACCAUGGGAGUUGGUUCUACCUUAAGGCAAGGUUUCAAACCCUUGACCACGGUAUAGUCAGCGACUGGGGUGAAGUCGUAACAAGGUAGCCGUAGGGGAACCUGCAGCUGGAUUACCUCCUUUCU
rnacentral:rRNA from 1 species